UCCCAGCACUUUGGGAGGCUGACGCAGGGGGAUGGUUAGAGCCCAGGAGGUCAAGGCUGCAAUGAGCCAUGAUCACGUUCCUGAACUCAGUGAUCACGCCACCCCACUCCGUGAUCACGCCACCGCACUCCCUGAUCACGCCACCGCACCCCGUGAUCAUGCCACCCCACUCCUGAUCACGCCACUCCACUCCCUGAUCACGCCACUCCACUCCCUGAUCACGCCACGGCACCCCGUGAUCACGCCAACCCACUCUGUGAUCACGCCACUCCACUCCCUGAUCACGCCACCGCACCCCGUGAUCACGCCACUCCACUCCCUGAUCACGCCACUCCACUCCCUGAUCACGCCAACCCACUCCGUGAUCACGCCAACCCACUCCGUGAUCACGCCACUCCACUCCGUGAUCACGCCAACCCACUCCGUGAUCACGCCACUCCACUCCCUGAUCACGCCACUGCACUCCAGCCUGGACAACAGAGCAAGACCUAUGUUUAAACACACACACGACCCUCGUGGACACGCACACGCACUGGUGCACAGACACAGUGACCUUCAGGUCCCAUCUUCUGCUUCUCUACACUACGUCCAUGUUUGAACCUUCUACUUGAGCUAUUUUUGUCGGCAAUAGGGGUUACCUGGGUGUGAGAUUAUGGGUUCUUUUCUGGUUUCUUCUUUGGGCUUCUCUGUUUAUGAAAAGACAAAAGCCUGUUAAAUACAACAUAAAACAGGCAGUGCCCCAGCUAUUCCUAAUGUGUCUUACCAGGUCCCCUCCUGCUGGGUAAAAGAAAGCCACUUUGCCAGCUCCCGUCUUAGUGGGCCUGGGCCAGUGUCUUCCAAGCUUAAUAUGAUUGUCUUUUUUUAAAGGAAAAAAACAUUCUCACACAGCCCAAAGAGCAUGUUCAUGAAGCCCAGCCCAGGAAAUACUGUCCGGGAAAAUUAAAAUCUUUUAUCAGAAAAGGGCUCUGGUUGGAAAGCACUGUUGUGGACAGGGAGUAUCCCCCUGGGCCGGUCUGGCGGUUUGUGCCGGUCCCCACAAGACAAAAAGGCAGCUUCCCUCCUGGCACCUGCAGGCCCCUCUGCUUUGGUCCCAGGACCCACAGAAACCAGCUCCACCUUGGGAGAAGCCCCAGCUGGAGAUCAGACAUGGUACCAAGGCCGUGGGGCACCUUCUCGGACGAUGGCUAUUUCAGCCCAACCAGGAUGGUGGGGUCUGGGGGGAAGAGAGCUUCUCAGACGGGAGCCUGUUUACGGGGAGCCACUCUCCUCAUGCUGUCCACUGCCACUCUCAGAGCAGCAUCCCUGCUGAGCGCUGGCAUUCAGAGGGAGGCGCCUCCCUGAUCCCGGCCUGGAGGCAGAGCCGCCAGCUGGCCAGGCAGCAGCCCAGCGGCUCCGGGGGUGGGGGCGACAGGUGCUGGGCAGGGAGGUGCUAAAUUGUGUAACACUCAGCAGCCACGCUACACUUGGGAAGAGCGGAUGUGCUGAAAAUGCCCGGUGUAGGACCAAGGUGUGCCAACCAGCCCACACCAUGCCCGAGAGGCUUCGCAGCCGCCCACCCCGGCUCUCACAGCGCCCGUCCCCGCCACACUCCCAGCCGGCCGCGCCAGCUUCCCCAGGCUGUCCGGAGUGGCUGCUGGAACUGGAAUAAAGUCCUCUCUGAGACAGCCCCGGGGUGGUUUCCUGCAGUUUUCUGGUGGCUGAUGAAGAGGGCAGUGCUGGGCGUCAGCUACCCACCUGUGCCUGCACCCACCUGUACCUGUGCCUGUCCUUCCGCAGUUCACUUAUCUAACCCACAGCCAUGGCUUCGCCAGGGGAAGUGACAUACUAAACACCACACUGAAACCCCCACUUGAAAAAAGAAAUAACAACAAAAUAAUAAUGACGAUGAAGUCAGCUUGCCGUUAAGGAAGCCGACACGGAGCACCUGAUCACCCAGCUGCCCGAGUAGGCUGGGGCCACCAGUUAAACAUCUUAGCCACCAGCAGCCACUCCUCUGGGGAACUGGCCAGAAGUGACUGCGGCACCCCAUUAGCUGCUGGAGCGAAGGGAAGACGUGGUUUCUCUGGAGAAAACACAGCACAGGCUACAGCAACUCUGCUGGUCAGAAGCAGGGGGUGUUGUCGUUUCCUGUCCCAGCUCCUCUGAGGCUGGGGUCGGGGAGGCUGGCCCUGCUGUGUUCUCGGGCCAAGGCUGCACAGAUCACGUUCCCAGGGGUCCUGUCCACAAAAGGGCCACCACCAAGGCGGACCCCCCCCCAUGCAGCCAACCCAGGGCAGCAGAAAAGGAUCUGGAGACCAGGUAGAGCAGGGACAGGAGUGUGCACCUCAGGGCCACGGUGGCUAAGACCCAGCGGGAGGCUGGCUGAGGCCCCAGGCCCCAGGGACUGCACCAGGCCUCUCCGCUGUCUCACUCUGUGAGUGCUGCCGGGAGAUGCCCCAGCAAAACGUUUUUCAGGACAGAGCGAUACGCUGGUCAGUGGCUCCGGGGAGGACUACAACACAGAUAAGUCAAAAGAAAAAAUGGCACAACCUGCCCUGUGAAAUCUGAGAGGAGCAAACAGGCCAUGAAGGUGUUGGCAGAGCACAGACGAGGCUGUGAAGGUCCAGCGGCAGCCACGCCCCCUCACCGUGAGACCAGCAGAGGCAGCAUCCUGGAUGCACUCACUGGGAGGGGGGUGUCAUGGGGACCAGGCGACCAGGCUCCCGGCAGAUGAGCAGCGGGGAGGGCUCCAGCCUCUAGAAAGGCAGAUUCCCUCCAGGCCGCCAUCUGCCUCGGCACAGGAGGCCAACGAGGGGCGUGGUUUGUGACCUGCAAGCAGGAGCAGGUCUGGGCCCAGGUUUGGGGAACACCUGGGGGUCCAGCAUUUGCUGCAGAGCCGAGGAGAGGAGCAGGGAGAGGCCGUGGGCUGUCAUGGAGAUGACCCCAGCGCUAAGAGGAGGGAACACGUGGUGCCGUACACGUCUGACUCUGCUGCGGCUGAGACUGAAACACAGCUGUCGCCUCCUCCUCCACCCCCAGGGCUGGCUGUGGCUCCACUUCUGCCUACGCUCUGCUGGGAAGAGCCACCCCAGACUGCCCAGGAGGCCUCCCUGAGUCCAGCCCCACCCCAUCCAAAGUUCAGGGGCCCCAAAGGAGAAGAUGGGUACAGCCCCGCCCAAUGGUCAGAGGGAAGCACACGAUGGCACAGAAUCGGCACCUGUCUUCUCUGUCACAGACUCUCCAAAUACCAGGACUUCCUGCUGAGGCCUUUAAGUGCAUCCCACAGCUUCUGACCAACCACAAGCAGAGCUGGCCAACUGAAAGGGCAUGUGGACCACAGGAGGAUGGUGGUGAAGAGCAGACGCCAACCACAGGCCCCGCAUCCACCCAUGCCUGAGGUCUGCAGGGUCCACAGCAGCUUGCCGGGCCCCAGGGGAAGCCCCACAGGAGACGGACAGAGUAGGAGGCGGCAUCAAGGUGGAGAACAGGGGCAGGUGAGGUUGAGGGGGCAGCAGAUUCACCUGCCAGGCUCCACAGGGACUCUAAGCACCCAUGACACCCACAGAGCCCCCAGCAGCAUCGACUGCAAGGGGCUUUCCCCUCAGAAGAACAGAGCCGCAGCCCUGGGAACCACCUGCCCAAAGACCAGGCAUGAAGCCAGAACACACUCCCACAUCUUCCCAAAGACCAGGCAUGGACCCGGAACACACUCCCACAUCUGCCCAAAGACCAGGCAUGGACCCGGAACACACUCCCACAUCUUCCCAAAGGCCAGGCAUGGACCCGGAACACAAUCCCACAUCUUCCCAAAGACCAGGCAUGGACCCGGAACACACUCCCACAUCUGUCCAAAGGCCAGGCAUGGACCCGGAACACAAUCCCACAUCUGCCCAAAGACCAGGCAUGGACCCGGAACACACUCCCACAUCUGCCCAAAGGCCAGGCAUGGACCCGGAACACACUCCCACAUCUGUCCAAAGACCAGGCAUGGACCCGGAACACACUCCCACAUCUUCCCAAAGGCCAGGCAUGGACCCGGAACACAAUCCCACAUCUGUCCAAAGACCAGGCAUGGACCCGGAACACACUCCCACAUCUUCCCAAAGACCAGGCAUGGACCCGGAACACAAUCCCACAUCUGCCUGUGGAGCUCCACCAGGAGCUCAAUGUCCCCACCCUCUGGAGUCUAUAUUCUCACCCUGGGAGACUGAUGAUAAACAAUUAACAGAUGGACACAGAGAAAAUUAGCAACACUGUAGACUUAAGGAAAACCAUAUCAAUAAUGACGCUAACAUUCUAAUUAAAGAGCAGUUAUUUUCAGACUGUAUUUUUAAAAGCAAGACGCCACUAUACAAUAUUUGUAAAAGAUAUACUUCCUAUUUAAAGACAGGUUAAGAAAGGAAAAGGGUGGAAAACGAUACAUCGUGAAAACACUGAUCAUAAAGUUAAGUGACUCUAUCAAAGGACACUUUGAACCAAGGGAUAUUUGACCAAUUUGUAGAGGAACAUUUUCCUAAAAGAUUUAAUCAUCAGAAAGACACCAACCCUCAAUGUGAAUGCACCCAAUAACACUCCAGAAUAUAUGGAGCAAAAAUAGACAAACUGAAAGGAAGGAAUGGACUAACCAACAGAUACAGCGAUAGAUAAUAUCAUUCCCCUCUAUUACAGACAAGAAACAAAACGCAAAACACUGAUGUAAGGAAUAAAAGGGCGGAAUCACUACAGACAUUAAAAGGAAAAUACUGGUCAGGCGCGGUGGCUCACACCUGUAAUCCCAGCACUUUGGGAGG